GGGUUGUGAGGUUAAGCGACUAAGCGUACACGGUGGAUGCCCUGGCAGUCAGAGGCGAUGAAGGGCGUGCUAAUCUGCGAUAAGCGCCGGUAAGGUGAUAUGAACCGUUAUAACCGGCGAUACCCGAAUGGGGAAACCCAGUGUGACUCGUCACACUAUCAUUAACUGAAUCCAUAGGUUAAUGAGGCGAACCGGGGGAACUGAAACAUCUAAGUACCCCGAGGAAAAGAAAUCAACCGAGAUUCCCCCAGUAGCGGCGAGCGAACGGGGAGGAGCCCAGAGCCUGAAUCAGCAUGUGUGUUAGUGGAAGCGUCUGGAAAGGCGCGCGAUACAGGGUGACAGCCCCGUACACAAAAGCGCAUGUGCUGUGAGCUCGAUGAGUAGGGCGGGACACGUGGUAUCCUGUCUGAAUAUGGGGGGACCAUCCUCCAAGGCUAAAUACUCCUGACUGACCGAUAGUGAACCAGUACCGUGAGGGAAAGGCGAAAAGAACCCCGGCGAGGGGAGUGAAAAAGAACCUGAAACCGUGUACGUACAAGCAGUGGGAGCACAGGUUUACCUGUGUGACUGCGUACCUUUUGUAUAAUGGGUCAGCGACUUAUAUUCUGUAGCAAGGUUAACCGUAUAGGGGAGCCGGAGGGAAACCGAGUCUUAACCGGGCGUUAAGUUGCAGGGUAUAGACCCGAAACCCGGUGAUCUAGCCAUGGGCAGGUUGAAGGUUGGGUAACACUAACUGGAGGACCGAACCGACUAAUGUUGAAAAAUUAGCGGAUGACCUGUGGCUGGGGGUGAAAGGCCAAUCAAACCGGGAGAUAGCUGGUUCUCCCCGAAAGCUAUUUAGGUAGCGCCUCGUGAAUUCAUCUCCGGGGGUAGAGCACUGUUUCGGCUAGGGGGCCAUCCCGGCUUACCAACCCGAUGCAAACUGCGAAUACCGGAGAAUGUUAUCACGGGAGACACACGGCGGGUGCUAACGUCCGUCGUGAAGAGGGAAACAACCCAGACCGCCAGCUAAGGUCCCAAAGUCAUGGUUAAGUGGGAAACGAUGUGGGAAGGCCCAGACAGCCAGGAUGUUGGCUUAGAAGCAGCCAUCAUUUAAAGAAAGCGUAAUAGCUCACUGGUCGAGUCGGCCUGCGCGGAAGAUGUAACGGGGCUAAACCAUGCACCGAAGCUGCGGCAGCGACGCUGAUGCGUUGUUGGGUAGGGGAGCGUUCUGUAAGCCUGUGAAGGUGUGUCGUGAGGCAUGCUGGAGGUAUCAGAAGUGCGAAUGCUGACAUAAGUAACGAUAAAGCGGGUGAAAAGCCCGCUCGCCGGAAGACCAAGGGUUCCUGUCCAACGUUAAUCGGGGCAGGGUGAGUCGACCCCUAAGGCGAGGCCGAAAGGCGUAGUCGAUGGGAAACAGGUUAAUAUUCCUGUACUCGGUGUUACUGCGAAGGGGGGACGGAGAAGGCUAUGUUGGCCGGGCGACGGUUGUCCCGGUUUAAGCGUGUAGGUGUGUGUUCCAGGUAAAUCCGGUUCACUUUAACACUGAGGCGUGAUGACGAGGCACUACGGUGCUGAAGCAACAAAUGCCCUGCUUCCAGGAAAAGCCUCUAAGCAUCAGGUAACAUCAAAUCGUACCCCAAACCGACACAGGUGGUCAGGUAGAGAAUACCAAGGCGCUUGAGAGAACUCGGGUGAAGGAACUAGGCAAAAUGGUGCCGUAACUUCGGGAGAAGGCACGCUGACAUGUAGGUGAAGUGAUUUACUCACGGAGCUGAAGUCAGUCGAAGAUACCAGCUGGCUGCAACUGUUUAUUAAAAACACAGCACUGUGCAAACACGAAAGUGGACGUAUACGGUGUGACGCCUGCCCGGUGCCGGAAGGUUAAUUGAUGGGGUCAGCGCAAGCGAAGCUCCUGAUCGAAGCCCCGGUAAACGGCGGCCGUAACUAUAACGGUCCUAAGGUAGCGAAAUUCCUUGUCGGGUAAGUUCCGACCUGCACGAAUGGCGUAAUGAUGGCCAGGCUGUCUCCACCCGAGACUCAGUGAAAUUGAACUCGCUGUGAAGAUGCAGUGUACCCGCGGCAAGACGGAAAGACCCCGUGAACCUUUACUAUAGCUUGACACUGAACAUUGAGCCUUGAUGUGUAGGAUAGGUGGGAGGCUUUGAAGUGUGGACGCCAGUCUGCAUGGAGCCGACCUUGAAAUACCACCCUUUAAUGUUUGAUGUUCUAACGUGGACCCGUUACCCGGGUUGCGGACAGUGUCUGGUGGGUAGUUUGACUGGGGCGGUCUCCUCCUAAAGAGUAACGGAGGAGCACGAAGGUUGGCUAAUCCUGGUCGGACAUCAGGAGGUUAGUGCAAUGGCAUAAGCCAGCUUGACUGCGAGCGUGACGGCGCGAGCAGGUGCGAAAGCAGGUCAUAGUGAUCCGGUGGUUCUGAAUGGAAGGGCCAUCGCUCAACGGAUAAAAGGUACUCCGGGGAUAACAGGCUGAUACCGCCCAAGAGUUCAUAUCGACGGCGGUGUUUGGCACCUCGAUGUCGGCUCAUCACAUCCUGGGGCUGAAGUAGGUCCCAAGGGUAUGGCUGUUCGCCAUUUAAAGUGGUACGCGAGCUGGGUUUAGAACGUCGUGAGACAGUUCGGUCCCUAUCUGCCGUGGGCGCUGGAGAACUGAGGGGGGCUGCUCCUAGUACGAGAGGACCGGAGUGGACGCAUCACUGGUGUUCGGGUUGUCAUGCCAAUGGCACUGCCCGGUAGCUAAAUGCGGAAGAGAUAAGUGCUGAAAGCAUCUAAGCACGAAACUUGCCCCGAGAUGAGUUCUCCCUGAGACUUAGAGUCUCCUGAAGGAACGUUGAAGACGACGACGUUGAUAGGCCGGGUGUGUAAGCGCAGCGAUGCGUUGAGCUAACCGGUACUAAUGAACCGUGAGGCUUAACCUUACAACGCCGAAG
rnacentral:rRNA from 1 species